AUAACGCAAUUAAAAUAUUUCACGAAUGUAAAUCCGCGAUAAGGAAAGAAAGCAAAAAUAAUCGACCUAUUCUACUAGGUAAAGUCAAGUAGUUACGAUUGGUUUUAAUCAAACUCGAAGUUCGUUCUAUUGCACAUAGAUGUCGCUCGUAGUAAUUUUCAUCGGACAUUUUGGAUCGAGGUCCGGCGGAUCGAAGGGAGUCUGAUUCGCGCGAUUGUUGCAUUUUAUCGUGUGUAAUUCCCGUUGUGCGCGUUAAUGCGUUAAUGUUGAUUGCGAUUUAGCCGCGUUUUCGCGGGUAAACAUCCAAUAAUGCUGCGAGACAACAUAGAUAUCAUCUUUAAUGCAGCAAGAUUGCUUCGCCAUGUCGGACCGUUGAAAGCUCGGACAGAAUCAUCAUUUCAAAGGAUCGAGCCAUCUUGUUUUCAUGAAUAUUGUUUCGCAAACCGAAUCUGGUGUGCUUCGUGCCUCGCGGGUGAAAAAAUAAUUAUAAUAAUAUAAUACUUCAAGAGAGAAAAUUUCUCGCGCAUAUCAAAAUAAUUCUGUAUGCAACAAUGCGCAUGAGAGAAGUAAUUCGCAUGUGAGUAUAUCAACUUUUGUAUUGUAUAUUCCAAAAAGUAAUACGCGAUACCAUCGUGCUCCAAAAUGGCCGAUUAUUUAAAGAGGUGCGUUGAUUUCGUUUUUCUGGUGAGAUUGAGGCGACGAAGAUAAUUUACUUUUCGCCCGCAAGAAGCGAACGUUCUGAAAUUUCCUUCUAGAAAUUCGUUCCAGGAAAUCGCUUCUUCCAUUCAUAUUUUUUGUGCCUUUCUCCCCCUCAUCCUCCCCUCGACAUGGUCGAUUAAUUGCACACUAAUGCUCUUCCUCCCGGCGCGUUCGCGGACUACGGCAAUCGUUGGGACUAAGUUGCAAAUAAUUUCGCCAGACACGGAUAUGUGGCUUCAUAUAGCACGAGUUACGCAGAUUGCGGUGUAAUUUAAUCGGGAUACGGAGGUACCAAUUAACAGUACAUCGCAUCUGCGAGGAAUAACAAAGAAAGAGAGGCUGGAUAUUAAAAUUAAAAUAUAAAAUAUAUCUCAUGCGUAAUAAUAUUAUAAAACAAUUUCUUUUUCUCACUGAUGGAAGAUUAAUUGGAAGAGUAACUUGAUCAUCAUUGGUGAUUCAUACAGUUUGUGCCUCCUGCAUUUUAUCAAUAUCAUUCUAUUUUAUUAUUCCUGCUUAAUAUUAAUUCAGAUGGAUACUUGAUGUUCUCCAUUGAUAUUUACUUAAAAA